GUCCACGCUGUAAACGAUGGGCACUAGGUGUCGCGGGUAUUGACCCCUGCGGUGCCGCAGCUAACGCAUUAAGUGCCCCGCCUGGGGACUACGGCCGCAAGGCUAAAACUCAAAGGAAUUGACGGGGGCCCGCACAAGCGGUGGAGCAUGUGGUUCAAUUCGACGCAACGCGAAGAACCUUACCCGGGCUAGACAACAGAGGACCGUCUUAGAAAUAAGGCCUUUCCUUCGGGAACCUCUGGUUCAGGUGCUGCAUGGCUGUCGU
rnacentral:rRNA from 1 species